CCAAUAGCGUAUAUUAAAGUUGUUGCAGUUAAAAAGCUCGUAGUUGAAUUUCGGGGUCAGUAGGCUGGUCGUGCCACAGGUAUGUACUGGUCUCACUGAUUCCUCCUUCCUGAAGAACCGUAAUGCCAUUAAUUUGGUGUUGCGGGGAAACAGGACUGUUACUUUGAAAAAAUUAGAGUGUUUAAAGCAGGCUAACGCUUGAAUACAUUAGCAUGGAAUAAUGAAAUAGGACGAUCGAUCCUAUUUUGUUGGUUUCUAGGAUUGACGUAAUGAUUAAUAGGGAUAGUUGGGGGCAUUAGUAUUCAAUUGUCAGAGGUGAAAUUCUUGGAUUUACUGAAGACUAACUACUGCGAAAGCAUUUGCCAAGGAUGUUUUCAUUAAUCAAGAACGAAAGUUAGGGGAUCGAAGACGAUCAGAUACCGUCGUAGUCUUAACCAUAAACUAUGCCGACUAGGGAUCGGAUGAUGUUAAUUUUUUAAUGACUCAUUCGGCGCCUUACG
rnacentral:rRNA from 1 species